GACGAACGCUGGCGGCGUGCCUAACACAUGCAAGUCGAACGAAGUGGCGAACGGGUGAGUAAUACGUGGGUAACCUGCCCUCCUUAUUGGGGUAAGCCUUGGAAACGGGGUCUAAUACCGAAUAAAGGGGGAUGGGCUCGGGGCUUAUCAGCUUGUUGGUGGGGUGGUGGUCUACCAAGGCGGUGACGGGUGGCCGGCCUGAGAGGGUGACCGGGCACAGUGGGAAGGAGGUACGGCCCAGACUCCUACGGGAGGGAGCAUUGGGGGAUAUUGCACCAUGGGCGAAAGCCUGAUGCAGCGACUCCGCGUGGGGGAUGAAGGCUUUCGGGUUGUAAACGUCUGUCGCUAGCGAACGGUUAGGUGGAGAAGAAGCGCCGGCUAACUCCGUGCCAGCAGCCGCGGUAAUAC
rnacentral:rRNA from 1 species